rnacentral:rRNA from 1 species
GAUGAACGCUGGCGGCGUGCUUAACACAUGCAAGUCGAACGGAAAGGCUCCUGCUUGCAGGGGUACUCGAGUGGCGAACGGGUGAGUAACACGUGGGUGAUCUGCCCUGCACUUCGGGAUAAGCCUGGGAAACUGGGUCUAAUACCGGAUAGGACGAUGGUUUGGAUGCCAUUGUGGAAAGUUUUUCGGUGUGGGAUGAGCUCGCGGCCUAUCAGCUUGUUGGUUGGGUAAUGGCCUACCAAGGCGUCGACGGGUAGCCGGCCUGAGAGGGUGUACGGCCACAUUGGGACUGAGAUACGGCCCAGACUCCUACGGGAGGCAGCAGUGGGGAAUAUUGCACAAUGGGCGUAAGCCUGAUGCAGCGACGCCGCGUGGGGGAUGACGGCCUUCGGGUUGUAAACUCCUUUCGCUAGGGACGAAGCGCAAGUGACGGUACCUGGAGAAGAAGCACCGGCUAACUACGUG